UACGUAGGUCCCAAGCGUUAUCCGGAAUUACUGGGUGUAAAGAGUUUGUAGGCGGAAUAGUAAGUUUUGUAUGAAAGACCGGAGCUCAACUCCGUGUUUGUGCAAAAAACUGCUAAUCUAGAAUUAGGAAGAGGUAAACGGAAUGGUAAGAGUAGAGGUGCAAUUCGUAGAUACUUACCAGAACACCAAAAGCGAAGGCAGUUUACUGGGACUAUAUUGACGCUGAGAAACGAAAGCGUGGGGAGCGAAAAGG
rnacentral:rRNA from 1 species